AUUGAACGCUGGCGGCAGGCCUAACACAUGCAAGUCGAACGAGUGGCGGACGGGUGAGUAAUGUCUGGGAAACUGCCUGAUGGAGGGGGAUAACUACUGGAAACGGUAGCUAAUACCGCAUACUAUCAGAUGAGCCUAGGUCGGCUUAGCUAGUUGGUGGGGUAAAGGCCUACCAAGGCGACGAUCCGUAACUGGUCUGAGAGGAUGAUUAGUCACACUGGAACUGGGACACGGUCCAGACUCCUACGGGAGGCAGCAGUGGGGAAUAUUGGACAAUGGGUGAAAGCCUGAUCCAGCCAUGCAGCGUGUGUGAAGAAGGCCUUCGGGUUGUAAAGCACUUUCAGCGGGGAGGCGUUACCCGCAGAAGAAGCACCGGCUAACUCCGUGCCAGCCGCCGCGGUAAUUC
rnacentral:rRNA from 1 species